UCCGGGUUGCGGACAGUGUCUGGUGGGUAGUUUGACUGGGGCGGUCUCCUCCUAAAGAGUAACGGAGGAGCACGAAGGUUGGCUAAUCCUGGUCGGACAUCAGGAGGUUAGUGCAAUGGCAUAAGCCAGCUUGACUGCGAGCGUGACGGCGCGAGCAGGUGCGAAAGCAGGUCAUAGUGAUCCGGUGGUUCUGAAUGGAAGGGCCAUCGCUCAACGGAUAAAAGGUACUCCGGGGAUAACAGGCUGAUACCGCCCAAGAGUUCAUAUCGACGGCGGUGUUUGGCACCUCGAUGUCGGCUCAUCACAUCCUGGGGCUGAAGUAGGUCCCAAGGGUAUGGCUGUUCGCCAUUUAAAGUGGUACGCGAGCUGGGUUUAGAACGUCGUGAGACAGUUCGGUCCCUAUCUGCCGUGGGCGCUGGAGAAUUGAGGGGGGCUGCUCCUAGUACGAGAGGACCGGAGUGGACGCAUCACUGGUGUUCGGGUUGUCAUGCCAAUGGCACUGCCCGGUAGCUAAAUGCGGAAGAGAUAAGUGCUGAAAGCAUCUAAGCACGAAACUUGCCCCGAGAUGAGUUCUCCCUGACUCCUUGAGAGUCCUGAAGGAACGUUGAAGACGACGACGUUGAUAGGCCGGGUGUGUAAGCGCAGCGAUGCGUUGAGCUAACCGGUACUAAUGAACCGUGAG
rnacentral:rRNA from 1 species